rnacentral:misc_RNA from 1 species
AUCAAUGUUGAUUCUCUAUUUAAAAGACAACACAAAAACAAAAAAUAGAAUAAAUAAUAAAAAAAAUUAUUUAAAGUAUUAGAAACUUUUUUAAAUUAAUAAAAAUAAUAACAUAAAUAGCUUAUAGAACUGUUAAAAUUAUGCACAAAAACAAUAAAACUAUCACGGUAUCACCAAUUAUUGUUAAUGUUUUAUGCAUUUUUCCACAACAUCUGUCCUUCCUUGAUAAGGAUUGUUGGAGUCUCAACAAAGUGGCUUAAACAAGACUUUGCUAGAGUUGAUACUUAUGGGUCCCUCUCAAACUGAAGGAUUACGGGAUUUCUUUUGUUAUUGAAAUUUAGCCACUUGGAGACUUAGACUGAUGAAAUGCGGUCUAAAAUAUGGCAUACUUAACUUCCAGAAGUUUUUCAAUGUAUUUGUAGCUUCUUAAAGAAAUAGAGAACUUCAAAGUUAUUAUGGGUUGCGACUUGGGAAAUUGGGACCAAUUGGAACUCAAUUAUUUUGAAUUAGAUCGUGGACUUAUGUUAUUUGAAUAGUUAAGGGAUUACAUUGCAAGUACACUUUCAAGUCUUUUGAAAUUUAAUGUAUAGUGUGAUUUGUAUUUGAAUGAUAUCUUUUAAAGCAAACAGGAAAAAUUUCAACCAUAGAUCAAGGAAGCAAGGAUACAGAUACAAAUAUUUGGAUACAUAGAUAAAUAUAACCAGAAAAAUAAGGAAAUAAAUGAAUAAAAGGAAAAUAUUAAAAUUUUAGAUAGAGAAGUUUGAAGUAAAUAUCCUUUUCUUAAUCCAUAUGCGAGGGAAAUAAACAAUUAGUCAAUCUAAACCAUACUUUAAAAUGUGGCAUGACAUUUUUGGCACCUGUUCUUGCAAUUUACUGUGUAUUUUAGUGGAUUGCAGGUGUUCAACAUUGUUUCUAUGUUUCUUUGUAAUUGGUUAUUCUACUUGUUUCCUCAUUUCCUCUCUUAUUAAACCUUCUACGCAGUUCUUUGGCCUGGCUCCUAGGACUACUUUGUUUGAAUUGGAGGCAGUUGGGCAACAUUACUGUGAAAAUGAUUGGGAUGAACUGAGAAGUCAACAUCAUGGCAUUGAUGAUAUGGAUUUGUUGAGAU